CUCUCUCUCUCUACCCCUUCUUACAUAAUACAGAGCGCAAACCGACCCCCUCUCUCCUUCUCUCUCUCUCCUCUCUCUCUCUCUCUCUCCCUCUACACUCGAUCCCAUCUGAGAAGCUGGGAAUCGAGGAGGAAAUUGGAAGCUGAAUAGGGGGGAUCUAAGACCUCAACCGUGUCAUUUUAGUGCCAUCUCGUGCACAAAUGGAGCAUGGGAGAGCUUGUGAUUGCAAUGAUUGUGGCGGAAAGUAUAUUUUGAUAAAAGAUGAAGAAGAUCCGAGAUUGACAAUGUUCGACAAGCCUCUUCCUUGUUUUGGGUGUGGAAUUGGGUGGUGUUCUUUUCUUCUAGGAUGUAUAUUUCCAUUCCUUUGGUACUGUGCCGCAACUUUAUACUUGUGCAAAUACUACAAUAGGGAUCCACGAGAGCGAGCUGGACUUAUGGCUUCUACUUUUGCGGUCUGUCACUCGUCUCUCGUCUCUCGGACUUCUAUAGCCUUGUUCUGUACUGUUGUGAUCCUUAUUGUACUCGCUGUAAUAUUCCUCUAGUUCGGAAAGCACAUUAUAGCAUUCCCAAACCAGCUGCUGCUUCAUCAACGGCAAAGCAAGCCCACACAAUUCAUCUAAGAAUCUCCAUUCCACAAGUUCAACUGGGGAAGAAGCACUGUGUAAAAGACCUCGGCGACGGUAACGAGGGCGUGCGCUGCCUCCUCUCCUUUCGCCUCCGCCUUCAUUGGUGUCGGCAUCGACGUGGGCGCCAGAGGAGAAAAACUCGAAGCCGCCUCCGCUUGCGCCGGCCCAGACAUCAACGUGGCGCCGGAGGAGGAGAAUUCGAAGUGGGAGCAGAUGAGGACGGAAUGGACAGAAGCAACGAGGUCGUGGUCGAGGAAGUACUCGCGGCUCUUGAGGAUAAGGCGGCAAGCACCUCUUUAGUCACAACUUAAUCGCUUCCGUCCAAUCCGUUCUCAUCCCCGGCCACUACGAGUUCUCCUCUUCCGGUAUUGCGUUGAUGCCG